GUCCACACAACGCUCUGAUUGGCCGGUUCCCCCUAAUCGUUCCCCUGCGAUUGGUCCGUUGCGGAUGACAGUGUGAGCACGCUCUAAGAAUCUUUUAACACGGCACGCCAAAGUCCGACCUAUAAAGAACCGACCCGCUGCAACUCCCUCAACAACCAACCCACAGUUCCAACUUGUCUACUGCAGCUGAUAAAAACUACCCAACGGAAUCAACAUGACUAAAGAUUGUUGCCAAGGCAAAUGCUCGUGUGGAGACAACUGCAAAUGCGGACCCAACUGCGCUCAAUGCCCGGCUGCCGCAACCUGCGCAUGCGCUACUGGUGGUGAAUGUAAAUGCAGCGGCAACUGCCAAUGCAGUACCAGCUGCCCGUGCAAAUCGGCCUGCUGCAAGUAAACGACUACACCUCACGUCCCUCGCAACAUUUCAACUCUAAAAAACCUGUAAUCAUAAAAACAUUAUCCAAGCGGUUUCGAAAUAAACAUUUUUAAAUUCUA